rnacentral:rRNA from 1 species
AGUGAACGCUGGCGGUAUGCCUAACACAUGCAAGUCGAACGGCAGCACAUUACUUUCUUGCUCUUACGGUUGUCGACUGGCGUACUGUUCAUUUAUACUUCGCAAUCUACUUUUUCUUGUGUUUUUACGUAUGGUUACUUACCCUAAUACCUCAUACGACCUACGGGUGUAUUCAUGGGUUCUUCCGACCUUGCGUGAUUUUAUGAGCCGAUGUCGGAUUAGCUAGUUGGCGGGGUAAAGGCCCACCAAGGCGACGAUCCGUAGCUGGUCUGAGAGGAUGAUCAGAAACACUGGAAGUGAGACACGGUCAAGACUCCUACGGGAGGCAGCAGUGGGGAAUAUUGGACAAUGGGCGCAAGCAUGAUACAGACAUACCGCGUGGGUGAAGAAGGGCUUCGGGUUGGAAAGCCGGUUUGUUGGGAAAGAAAAGCAGCAGGUUAAUACCAGGAUGUUGUGACGGUACCAAAAGAAUAAGCACCGGCUAACUUCGUG